CCUACGGGUGGCAGCAGUGGGGAAUAUUGGGCAAUGGAGGAAACUCUGACCCAGCAACGCCGCGUGAAUGAUGAAGGUAUUCGGAUUGUAAAGUUCUUUUAUAAGGGAAGAAGAAAGUGACGGUACCUUAGGAAUAAGCCUCGAACAACUACGUGCCAGCAGCCGCGGUAAGUCGUAGGCGGCGAGCGUUAGCCGGAAUGACUGGGCGAAAAGGGUGCGUAGGUGGUGUGGCAAGUUAGUAGCGUAACUCCAAGGCUCAACCUUGGAACUACUACGGAAACAGUGCGACUUGAGUGCAGGAGAGGCAAGUGGAAUUCCUAGUGUAGCGGUGGAAUGCGUAGAUAUUAGGAGGAACACCAGUGGCGAAGGCGGGUUGCUGGACUGUAACUGACGCUGAGGCACGAAAGCGUGGGGAGCAAACAGGAUUAGAUACCCGGGUAGUC
rnacentral:rRNA from 1 species